GAUGAACGCUGGCGGCGUGCCUAAUACAUGCGAGUCGAGCGAACAGACGAGGAGCUUGCUCCUCUGACGUUAGCGGCGGACGGGUGAGUAACACGUGGAUAACCUACCUAUAAGACUGGGAUAACUUCGGGAAACCGGGGCUAAUACCGGAUAAUAUAUUGAACCGCAUGGUUCAAUAGUGAAAGACGGUUUUGCUGUCACUUAUAGAUGGAUCCGCGCCGCAUUAGCUAGUUGGUAAGGUAACGGCUUACCAAGGCAACGAUGCGUAGCCGACCUGAGAGGGUGAUCGGCCACACUGGAACUGAGACACGGUCCAGACUCCUACGGGAGGCAGCAGUAGGGAAUCUUCCGCAAUGGGCGAAAGCCUGACGGAGCAACGCCGCGUGAGUGAUGAAGGUCUUCGGAUCGUAAAACUCUGUUAUUAGGGAAGAACAAAUGUGUAAGUAACUAUGCACGUCUUGACGGUACCUAAUCAGAAAGCCACGGCUAACUACGU
rnacentral:rRNA from 1 species